rfam:Deltaproteobacteria bacterium RIFCSPLOWO2_01_FTLL_45_74 rifcsplowo2_01_scaffold_814, whole genome shotgun sequence.
UGGGGCGUCGACAAGUGGUAAGUCAGCAGCCUUUGGAGCUGCCAUCCUUGGUUCGAAUCCAAGCGCCCCAA